rnacentral:misc_RNA from 1 species
ACACCUCAACUCUCAUGGUUUGCCGUGAUGAGCUUGGACUUUGGGGGAUUUGCUGGCCAUGUGGUUGGCUCCUCUCAAAUAGAUCAGCUUGCCAGCGUUUGGUGGCUUCACGGGUGUGAUAACUGUCUACGCCUGUGGUCCAUUGGGUGACCUUCAGUGAUGGAGGUUUGCUGGAGCUUACAAACGUCUCUCCUCGGCGGAGACGGCUUUUCGAAC